GUCGAGCGAUGAAGCACCUUCGGGUGUGAAUUAGCGGCGAACGGGUGAGGAACACGUGAAGAAUCUGCCUUCAACUCUGGGAUAACUCCGGGAAACCGGGGCUAAUACCGGAUAUGAGCCUUGAUCGCAUGAUCGGGGCUGGAAAGUUUUUCGGUUGAAGAUGACUUCGCGGCCUAUCAGCUUGUUGGUGAGGUAAUGGCUCACCAAGGCGACGACGGGUAGCCGGCCUGAGAGGGCGACCGGCCACACUGGGACUGAGACACGGCCCAGACUCCUACGGGAGGCAGCAGUGGGGAAUAUUGGGCAAUGGAGGAAACUCUGACCCAGCGACGCCGCGUGAGGGAUGAAGGCCUUCGGGUUGUAAACCUCUUUCAGUAGGGAAGAAGCGAAAGUGACGGUACCUACAGAAGAAGCACCGGCUAACUAUGUGCCAGCAGCCGCGGUAAUACAUAGGGUGCAAGCGUUGUCCGGAAUUAUUGGGCGUAAAGAGCUCGUAGGUGGUUCGAUACGUCGGAUGUGAAAAUCAGGGGCUCAACCCCUGACCUGCAUCCGAUACGGUCGAGCUAGAGUUUGGUAGGGGAGACUGGAAUUCCUGGUGUAGCGGUGGAAUGCGCAGAUAUCAGGAGGAACACCGAUGGCGAAGGCAGGUCUCUGGGCCAAUACUGACACU
rnacentral:rRNA from 1 species